GUAGGGAAUAUUGGGCAAUGGUCGGAAGACUGACCCAGCCAUGCCGCGUGCACGAAGACGGCCCUCUGGGUUGUAAACUGCUUUUAUCUGGGAAGAAAAAGGCCAUGCGUGGCAAAUUGCCGGUACCAGAUGAAUAAGCACCGGCUAACUCCGUGCCAGCAGCCGCGGUAAUACGGAGGGUGCGAGCGUUGUCCGGAUUUAUUGGGUUUAAAGGGUGCGUAGGCGGCUGAUUAAGUCAGCGGUGAAAGACUUCGGCUUAACCGGAGCAGUGCCGUUGAUACUGGUUGGCUUGAGUGUCGGAGGGGUACAUGGAAUUGAUGGUGUAGCGGUGAAAUGCAUAGAUACCAUCAGGAACACCGAUAGGGAAGGCAUUGUACUGGCCGACAACUGACGCUGAUGCACGAAAGUGUGGGGGUCGAACAGGAUUAGAUACCCUGGUAGUCC
rnacentral:rRNA from 1 species